rnacentral:rRNA from 1 species
UCAAGUGAAGAAGCGCAUACGGUGGAUGCCUUGGCAGUCAGAGGCGAUGAAAGACGUGGUAGCCUGCGAUAAGCUUCGGGGAGUCGGCAAACAGACUUUGAUCCGGAGAUCUCUGAAUGGGGGAACCCACCUAGGAUAACCUAGGUAUCUUGUACUGAAUCCAUAGGUGCAAGAGGCGAACCAGGGGAACUGAAACAUCUAAGUACCCUGAGGAAAAGAAAUCAACCGAGAUUCCCUUAGUAGUGGCGAGCGAACGGGGAUUAGCCCUUAAGCUUCUUUGAUUUUAGCGGAACGCUCUGGAAAGUGCGGCCAUAGUGGGUGAUAGCCCUGUACGCGAAAAGGUCUUAGAAGUGAAAUCGAGUAGGACGGAGCACGAGAAACUUUGUCUGAAUAUGGGGGGACCAUCCUCCAAGGCUAAAUACUACUGACUGACCGAUAGUGAACCAGUACCGUGAGGGAAAGGCGAAAAGAACCCCGGAGAGGGGAGUGAAAUAGAACCUGAAACCGUAUGCGUACAAGCAGUGGGAGCCCACUUUGUUGGGUGACUGCGUACCUUUUGUAUAAUGGGUCAGCGACUUAUAUUCAGUGGCGAGCUUAACCGAAUAGGGGAGGCGUAGCGAAAGCGAGUCUUAAUAGGGCGUUUAGUCGCUGGGUAUAGACCCGAAACCGGGCGAUCUAUCCAUGGGCAGGUUGAAGGUUAGGUAACACUGACUGGAGGACCGAACCGACUACCGUUGAAAAGUUAGCGGAUGACCUGUGGAUCGGAGUGAAAGGCUAAUCAAGCUCGGAGAUAGCUGGUUCUCCUCGAAAGCUAUUUAGGUAGCGCCUCACGUAUCACUCCAGGGGGUAGAGCACUGUUUCGGCUAGGGGGUCAUCCCGACUUACCAAACCGAUGCAAACUCCGAAUACCUGGAAGUGCCGAGCAUGGGAGACACACGGCGGGUGCUAACGUCCGUCGUGAAAAGGGAAACAACCCAGACCGUCAGCUAAGGUCCCAAAGUUAUGGUUAAGUGGGAAACGAUGUGGGAAGGCUUAGACAGCUAGGAGGUUGGCUUAGAAGCAGCCACCCUUUAAAGAAAGCGUAAUAGCUCACUAGUCGAGUCGGCCUGCGCGGAAGAUGUAACGGGGCUCAAACCAUACACCGAAGCUACGGGUAUCACGUAAGUGAUGCGGUAGAGGAGCGUUCUGUAAGCCUGUGAAGGUGAGUUGAGAAGCUUGCUGGAGGUAUCAGAAGUGCGAAUGCUGACAUGAGUAACGACAAUGCGAGUGAAAAACUCGCACGCCGAAAGACCAAGGUUUCCUGCGCAACGUUAAUCGACGCAGGGUUAGUCGGCCCCUAAGGCGAGGCAGAAAUGCGUAGUCGAUGGGAAGCAGGUUAAUAUUCCUGCACUUCUAGUUACUGCGAUGGGGGGACGGAGAAGGCUAGGCCAGCACGGCGUUGGUUGUCCGUGUUUAAGGUGGUAGGCAGAGAUCUUAGGUAAAUCCGGGGUCUUAAUGCCGAGAACUGAUGACGAGUGUCCUUUUGGACAUGAAGUGGUUGAUGCCAUGCUUCCAGGAAAAGCCUCUAAGCUUCAGGUAACUAGGAACCGUACCCCAAACCGACACAGGUGGUUGGGUAGAGAAUACCAAGGCGCUUGAGAGAACUCGGGUGAAGGAACUAGGCAAAAUGGCACCGUAACUUCGGGAGAAGGUGCGCCGGUGAGGGUGAAGGAUUUACUCAGUAAGCCCAUGCCGGUCGAAGAUACCAGGCCGCUGCGACUGUUUAUUAAAAACACAGCACUCUGCAAACACGAAAGUGGACGUAUAGGGUGUGACGCCUGCCCGGUGCCGGAAGGUUAAUUGAUGGGGUUAGCGCAAGCGAAGCUCUUGAUCGAAGCCCCGGUAAACGGCGGCCGUAACUAUAACGGUCCUAAGGUAGCGAAAUUCCUUGUCGGGUAAGUUCC